rnacentral:misc_RNA from 1 species
UUUUUUUUUUUUGAUAACAUCCAAUAUAAAUUUCCCAACUGCGCGCGCGCGCACACACACAAAACAACUGCUUAAAAAUACAUGUUCUACCAAUCAAAACCCCCAGUUCUUCCUUCCCAAAAUAUAUGACCAUGAACCCAGAUAUAGUGUUUAACAUUUUAUAACAGAACACUUCAAACAAAAAUACUAAAAAAUUACACAACGGUUAAAUAACAAUCCUGAAUACCAAUAUAUAAUCUGUUCCCAAAACCCUACCUUGCAGCUAGGCAAUUUACUGUUGAGGCCAAAACGAAAUCAACACCACCUUUGUAAUGUUCACUACUCUCAAAAUACAGACCAGGAAUAUCAGAAAUUCUGAAGCAAUAAAUUAGACAUCUUCAAUUUUGGAUCCCAUUUAUCAAUUUGAUGAUCAAUAAUUACCACCAAAAGUUCAUUGAUACCUUCAUGUAUAUUUAACCCAUGUCAAACACGCCAUUUCCAAACAAGUAUCUCAUGAUCAAACUUCUAAAAACACUAUUAAGUACAUAUGUAUUUAUGUCCCGAUCUAACACAAUACUAUUCUUCUAGUUCCAUGAAAACAAAGGAGCACCUACAAGACCUGAACUAAUGUCACCCAAUUCAUGAUUAGUAAUAAAAUAUCUUCUCCUACAGCACCAAACUAUGAGAUAGAAAAAAAAUAUAAAACAAAAGAGACUAACAAAAUAAAUUUAAGGCUGAAGACAAGUUGAUCUAUGACUAAAAAUACAUGCAUGCUUUGCAGAUCUCAUGAAUGAAUUUCCUAAUGUUUGCUGCAGUUGUAGGCUUCUAAGAUGGCCAUUGGUCUUAUAUUUCAACUUCUACAACCUACAACUCCAAAUGCCCAUACAACCAUAGACCUAUGAAUGAUCAACCAAAAUGAGACUUGCUACCAAGUAAUUUGCAAGCUUAAUUAGCCAUUCUAAAAUUCUAUAGGAAAGUUACAAGUAAUCCCCUAUUUCCUAAUGAGGAAAAAAAAAACAACACUUUGAAAUCUCAAAAAUUGAUAAUACUACUUAAUACUGCUGUUUGCUGAUGGAUCAUGAGAGUGCAA